rnacentral:rRNA from 1 species
GACGAACGCUGGCGGCGUGCUUAACACAUGCAAGUCGAACGGACAGGCCCUGCUUUUGUGGGGUGCUCGAGUGGCGAACGGGUGAGUAACACGUGAGUAACCUGCCCUUGACUUUGGGAUAACUUCAGGAAACUGGGGCUCAUACCGGAUAGGAGCUCCUGCUGCAUGGUGGUGGUUGGAAAGUUUCGGCGGUUGUGGAUGGACUGGCGGCUUAUCAGCUUGUUGGUGUGGUAGUGGCUUUCCAAGGCUUUGACGGAUAGGCGGCCUGAGAGGGGGAACGGCCACAAUGGGACUGAGAGACGGCCCAGAAUGCUACGGGAGGCAGCAGGGGGGAAUAUUGCACAAUGGGCGGAAGCGUGAGGCAGCAACGCCGCGUGCGGGAUGACGUCCUUCGGGUUAUAAACCGCUUUCGCCUGUGACGAAGCGUGAGUGACGGUAAUGGGUAAAGAAGCACCGGCUAACUACGUG